rnacentral:rRNA from 1 species
AAAUUGAAGAGUUUGAUCAUGGCUCAGAUUGAACGCUGGCGGCAGGCCUAACACAUGCAAGUCGAGCGGUAGCACAGAGAGCUUGCUCUCGGGUGACGAGCGGCGGACGGGUGAGUAAUGUCUGGGAAACUGCCUGAUGGAGGGGGAUAACUACUGGAAACGGUAGCUAAUACCGCAUAAUGUCGCAAGACCAAAGUGGGGGACCUUCGGGCCUCAUGCCAUCAGAUGUGCCCAGAUGGGAUUAGCUAGUAGGUGGGGUAACGGCUCACCUAGGCGACGAUCCCUAGCUGGUCUGAGAGGAUGACCAGCCACACUGGAACUGAGACACGGUCCAGACUCCUACGGGAGGCAGCAGUGGGGAAUAUUGCACAAUGGGCGCAAGCCUGAUGCAGCCAUGCCGCGUGUGUGAAGAAGGCCUUCGGGUUGUAAAGCACUUUCAGCGGGGAGGAAGGCGUUAAGGUUAAUAACCUUGGCGAUUGACGUUACCCGCAGAAGAAGCACCGGCUAACUCCGUGCCAGCAGCCGCGGUAAUACGGAGGGUGCAAGCGUUAAUCGGAAUUACUGGGCGUAAAGCGCACGCAGGCGGUCUGUCAAGUCGGAUGUGAAAUCCCCGGGCUCAACCUGGGAACUGCAUUCGAAACUGGCAGGCUAGAGUCUUGUAGAGGGGGGUAGAAUUCCAGGUGUAGCGGUGAAAUGCGUAGAGAUCUGGAGGAAUACCGGUGGCGAAGGCGGCCCCCUGGACAAAGACUGACGCUCAGGUGCGAAAGCGUGGGGAGCAAACAGGAUUAGAUACCCUGGUAGUCCACGCCGUAAACGAUGUCGAUUUGGAGGUUGUGCCCUUGAGGCGUGGCUUCCGGAGCUAACGCGUUAAAUCGACCGCCUGGGGAGUACGGCCGCAAGGUUAAAACUCAAAUGAAUUGACGGGGGCCCGCACAAGCGGUGGAGCAUGUGGUUUAAUUCGAUGCAACGCGAAGAACCUUACCUGGUCUUGACAUCCACAGAACUUUCCAGAGAUGGAUUGGUGCCUUCGGGAACUGUGAGACAGGUGCUGCAUGGCUGUCGUCAGCUCGUGUUGUGAAAUGUUGGGUUAAGUCCCGCAACGAGCGCAACCCUUAUCCUUUGUUGCCAGCGGUUACGGCCGGGAACUCAAAGGAGACUGCCAGUGAUAAACUGGAGGAAGGUGGGGAUGACGUCAAGUCAUCAUGGCCCUUACGACCAGGGCUACACACGUGCUACAAUGGCAUAUACAAAGAGAAGCGACCUCGCGAGAGCAAGCGGACCUCAUAAAGUAUGUCGUAGUCCGGAUUGGAGUCUGCAACUCGACUCCAUGAAGUCGGAAUCGCUAGUAAUCGUAGAUCAGAAUGCUACGGUGAAUACGUUCCCGGGCCUUGUACACACCGCCCGUCACACCAUGGGAGUGGGUUGCAAAAGAAGUAGGUAGCUUAACCUUCGGGAGGGCGCUUACCACUUUGUGAUUCAUGACUGGGGUGAAGUCGUAACAAGGUAACCGUAGGGGAACCUGCGGUUGGAUCACCUCCUUA